rnacentral:rRNA from 1 species
UGGGGAAUUUUGGACAAUGGGGGAAACCCUGAUCCAGCCAUCCCGCGUGUGCGGUGAAGGCCUUCGGGUUGUAAAGCACUUUUGGCAGGAAAGAAACGUCAUGGGUUAAUACCCCGUGAAACUGACGGUACCUCCCGAAUAAGCACCGGCUAACUACGUGCCAGCAGCCGCGGUAAUACGUAGGGUGCAAGCGUUAAUCGGAAUUACUGGGCGUAAAGCGUGCGCAGGCGGUUCGGAAAGAAAGAUGUGAAAUCCCGGAGCUCAACUUUGGAACUGCAUUUUUAGCUACCGGGCUAGGGUGUGUCGGAGGGAGGUGGAAUUCCGCGUGUAGCAGUGAAAUGCGUGGAUAUGCGGAGGAACACCGAUGGCGAAGGCAGCCUCCUGGGAUAACACUGACGCUCAUGCACGAAAGCGUGGGGAGCAAACAGG